rnacentral:lncRNA from 1 species
AUUUCUCAAAAAUGGAAAGGGACUGGAAUGCUAACCCUAGUGCAGCGGCCAGCAAAUGCCCGUCACAUCUCGGUCAGUCUUUCGAGCGUGGAGCGACCCUGAGAAUCGCAGUCGGUUUCCGCGGAGAAGAGCUACUGGUUACCGCACUUCCAAGUACGUGAGCAAGGUCGGACUCUAUUAGGAUGGAAAGGGCAAGGGCAGCUGGGGAAGAGGUCUGCUCGCAGGGCCGGGUUGCGGCGCUCCCGACUCCGGGCCUCUGGUCCCGCCAGGGGGCUGCACUGAAGCUGGGCCUCGGCCACGAAGGCGAAGCCGGAGACGGCCGUGUCCCUCCGCUCAGGGCCUCGGGACCGGCCCCGGGCAGCACCGGCGGGAAAGGCCGCCGGGAAGUGCUGCAGCCCCACCCUCCGUCCAGGCGGACCCAGGCCGCGGCGGAUGGGGCGACGAGAGAGGUCCCGCAGGGCAGCGGCAGGCGCGGUUCCGGGCUUCCGGCCUGGGGGCUUCCGGCCUCCGCGAUUCCGGCCUCCGGGCGUCGUCGCUCCGCAGAGGGCGCCCUAAGGUCACCGGCAGGGCCAGGCGUGGCCGGGCCGCUUCUGCGGAGCCAACCCGGCUCAGCCUCCCGCUGCUGGAUCCGAGUCCGGGCCCGCCCUUCCUCCGCAAGCCUUCCUGGCCAUGUCAGCCUCACGGGCCAAAAACCGGAUACUGGAACGAAAGACAAGACUUAAGAGAGGAUGAGAAAGAUAAAUUCUGAACAACAAAACCAAGCAAGGAGCCAGGCAAGAACAGCGACUGCGAUGGGCCAAGCUUCUGAAAUAAAGAACAAACUUACCAGCUGGAGUUUGAAGAACUGAAUUGCACUGAAGUGUGGGAGAUUGGCAGGUCGGUCGGUCGGCAGGAUGCCUGGGAAUGCUAGAAUUCCUGUAGUGACCAGGACACACCCAAGAGAGACACCCAGCUGUAAUCAGAGGCCAGCAAGGGUGCAUCCCUGGAGUGAGGCUUGAACCAGUGCUGGAUCAAACCCAGGACCAGGCACAUAUCUGGCAAACAACACAGGACGUCAGUACUUUAGUCUGAGGUUGGAAAAGAGCUCCAGCAACUGAGAUGUACAUCAGCAGCAGACAGCUGGCACUGACGCCAUGGAAUGGGGUGAGAUCAUUAAGAGCAAACACAGAGAAGACCAGUGGCUCGAGGUGGAGCCUUCUACCAUUGUCAUGGAGGAGACUGAGGAGAAGUGGCCAGCAGGGCAGGAGGGGACCAAGAUGGAGCAUGUCCUGGAAGCCACUGCGUAAAAUGCUGCUCAUAGGUCAGGGAGGUAAGGACUGAAAGUACUGGAUUUGGUAAAGCAGAGGUCACUCGUGUCCUUGGUAAGAGAUCCAUCUGAUAGGCAGG